UAUGAUUAGUUUAUGAAAGCUGCUAACUUUUAAAUAGCGAGUGCUACUAGAAGUG
rnacentral:tRNA from 1 species